UCUCACUUCUCAUUCCAUUGUCCCCUAUGAAAACGUUUUCUCACUUUUUCUCUCGACUCAAAGCUGGGAGAACUUGAAGCUCACCCUCGUCGUCGCCAUCACCUCUUGAAGUCGGAAUCCAUGAAAUCCAAUUGCACCCUCCCGUUUCUCCUCCUCCGUCUUUGUCGCUUUUAGAGCCUCCAUUCUUUCCAACAGCGGCCUUUAUCAUCUACACUGUUACAAUCAAUGACAUCUAAUGCUUCGACUACAUUUGUUGGAUCAACCGCCCCUCGUGCAUAUAAACGUAAUUCAGAUGAUGUUGGUUGGGAAUAUGGUGUUAUCCCGGAUAAAAACAACAUGGAUUAAGAUUUCGAGUCCGAGAGUGAGGAGCAAGUGUUAGAAGAAGACGAAUAUGAGUCGGAUGGGGUUCAAAUAAUGGAAGUAUGUGGAGAAGAUUAGAAGAAAAUUCUUGUGCUUGUAAAACUUAUUAUUAAACUUUUAUGGACUUGUUGGAUGGUGAUUUUGUAUGAUUGUUAAACUUAUUAUUAAACUUUUGGGCUUAUUUUGGAUGAUAAA